GUUUGAUCCUGGCUCAGAACGAACGCUGGCGGCGUGGCUAAGGCAUGCAAGUCGUACGGGAUUUUCUAGGUAGUAAUACUUGGAAAGUUUAGUGGCGAACGGGUGAGUAAUGCAUGGGUAACGUACCCCGGACACAGGGAUAGCGGCGGGCUUCGGCCCUUUAGCGAAAGUGCCGGUAACACCUGAUAAUGUUCGAGAAUUUCAUGGUUUUCGGAUCAAAAAGUGGGGACCCUUCGGGGCCUACUGGUCUGGGAGCGGCCCAUGUCCUAUCAGCUUGUUGGUGGGGUAAUGGCCUACCAAGGCGGUGACUGUAGCCGGCGUGAGAGCGCGACCGGCCACAUCGGGACUGAGACACUGCCCGGACACCUACGGGUGGCUGCAGCAACGAAUAUUCCGCAAUGGACGCAAGUCUGACGGAGCGACGCCGCGUGAAGGAUGAAGUCCCUCGGGAUGUAAACUUCAAUAGUUUGUCAGGAAGAGAUGGGGCCUAAUACGUCCCUGAUUUGACCACCAAACGAAAGGGGUGGCUAACUCCGUGCCAGCAGCCGCGGUAAUACGGAGACCCCUAGCGUUGUUCGGAAUUACUGGGCUUAAAGCGGGUGUAGGCGGAACGGUAAGUAUCUUGUGAAAGCCCCGGGCUCAACCCGGGAAUUGCUCGAUAUACUGCCGUUCUUGAGGCAGGUAGGGGUCACUGGAACCUUAGGUGGAGCGGUGAAAUGCGUAGAUAUCUAAGGGAAUGCCUGUGGCGAAAGCGGGUGACUGGGCCUGUCCUGACGCUGAGACCCGAAAGCGUAGGUAGCGAACGGGAUUAGAUACCCCGGUAGUCUACGCCGUAAACGAUGCGCACUAGGUUCGAGAGCUCUGACGGCUUCCGUGCCGAAACAAAAGCGUGAAGUGCGCCGCCUGGGGAGUACGGCCGCAAGGCUAAAACUCAAAGGAAUUGACGGGGGCUCACACAAGCGGUGGAGCAUGUGGAUCAAUUCGAAACAACGCGAAGAACCCUACCUGGGUUGAACUACAGCGGAUGCCCUUCCUGAAAGGGAAGUAAGCUGCCUUCGGGUGAAACGUUGAUAGGUGCUGCAUGGCUGUCGUCAGCUCGUGCUGUGAAGUGUCGGGUUAAGUCCCUUAGCGAGCGAAACCCUUGUCGCUAGUUGCCAGCGGGUAAAGCCGGGGACUCUAGCGAGACUGCCGGCGUUAAGCCGGAGGAAGGUGGGGACGACGUCAAGUCAUCAUGGCCUUUAUGCCCAGGGUUUCACACGUGCUACAAUGGGGCGUACAGAGCGAAGCGAGACCGCGAGGUGGAGCAAAUCGCACAAAGCGUCCCUCAGUUCGGAUUGGGGUCUGCAAUUCGACCCCAUGAAGUUGGAAUCGCUAGUAAUCGCGUAUCAGCAACGACGCGGUGAAUAUGUUCCUGAGCCUUGUACACACCGCCCGUCAAGCCAUGGAAGCCGGGAGUUCCCGAAGUCGCAGAGUUUCAUCUGUGCCGACGGAAAGCCUGGUGACUGGGACUAAGUCGUAACAAGGUA
rnacentral:rRNA from 1 species